UGAUGAUGGUGGUAGUAGUGGUAAUGAUGAUGAUGGUAGUAGUAGUGGUAAUGAUGAUGAUGGUAGUGGUGGUAAUGAUGAUGGUGGUAGUAGUGGUAUUGAUGAUGGUGGUAGUAGUGGUAAUGAUGAUGGUGGUAGUAGUAGUGGUAAUGAUGAUGGUGGUGGUAGUAGUGGUAAUAAUGAUGGUGGUAGUAGUAGUGGUAAUGAUGAUGAUGGUAGUAGUAGUGGUAAUGAUGGUGGUGGUAGUAGUGGUAAUGAUGAUGGUGGUAGUAGUGGUAAUGAUGAUGGUGGUGGUAGUAGUGGUAAUAAUGAUGGUGGUAGUAGUAGUGGUAAUGAUGAUGAUGGUAGUAGUAGUGGUAAUGAUGGUGGUGGUAGUAGUAGUGGUAAUGAUGAUGGUGGUAGUAGUAGUGGUAAUGAUGAUGAUGGUAGUAGUAGUGGUAAUGAUGAUGAUGGUGGUAGUAGUGGUAAUGAUGAUGGUGGUAGUAGUGGUAAUGAUGAUGGUUUUAGUAGUAGUGGUAAUGAUGAUGGUGGUGGUAUAAGUGGUAAUGAUGAUGGUGGUAGUAGUGGUAAUGAUGAUGGUGGUAGUAGUAAU
ensembl:lncRNA